CCAGUGGACGGGGCACCUCCGCCGGCCUGUAGUGCAGCAAGCCCAGCAGCAACCCGAGAGCAACUGAAGUUUGAUUUUUUUCGCCAGAUAAACCAAAACCAUACACAGAAGGAUCAUGGGCAGUGUGUCUGGAGGCCCAAGAGAGCUCCCAACCAAGCAGUUCUUUCCAGGUGCAAAGGGCGGAGGCCUCUUUGAGCUGCUGAGAAAAGGGCUUAGUGAAUUGUAAAGCAGAAUGCAAAUGGUGAUUAACUAAGACACGGCAAGCGAGGGUCCAUCCUAGUCAGCACAACCUUAGCCACUGCAGUGUGUCUCUGAAGAGCCAAUCUAGCUGUUUUAAACUGUACAUUGGUGCUUUGUGGGGCCAAGGCAGAUGGGACCACGUGAAGGUGAUGGGCCUGGGUAAUGAUCCCUGUCACUGUAUGUCUGUGAGGUUUCCAUGUUGAUAUUCUUUACUUGCCUCUGCUGAGCUGGAGCAAUCAAAGUCUCAAGUCUGUUCACACCCUGGGAUUAUGACUCGAUCACCAGACAUUAUUAUUGCUCAGGGAGAGGCAAAGUUUAAAAAUGACCAAGUUCAAAGGAGAGCCCUGCAACCUGUGAUCUCUGUUUGUCUAGCAGAAUUCCGCCAGCCUCCACUCCACACACCCAAAAUGCUCACACACACAGUCCUUCCCUGCCCUAGGCUGGAGGCUCUGAGUUAAUACAUCUGCCUAAAACUGGGCUUUUUGGAUUGGAGGCUUUCACAUUGCUUCUCAAGGAUCUACUAAUGGCAAAUGACAAAACUGACCAGCUGGUGCAGGAGAGAUUCAUAUUCAACUCAUUCCAUGAGAAACAAGAAAUUUAUAAAGCAGGGCUUUUCUGGAGUUUGGGUGAAAAUGUUUUAAUCUGGGAAAUAUACAGCAUAACACACAGAGCUGUGUUAGUUCAAACAUAAUGGAUGUGGUGUAAUAUUAGCUGAACACAUACCCAUUUCUGAGAAUAUUAUUUGGCCUGAAAAGGUAUGUUCAUAAAGGGACUCUUCUCUGUUUCUCUCUGGAUCCCAUGGAGUUGUUCUUUUUUGUGUGGCCUUCACAUCUUCCCUUUUGUUCCUCUAACAUUUUGUAGCAUUGGUUUUCUAACAGGGAAAGAUAUGUAUUCCUAGGGAUGUGUAUCAGCAUUUCUAAAGGAAAUGUAUGUAUACUUUGAAAAAACAUAUUUCAUAUUAUAAUAGAAUUUCAUAAUUUGGGUACCAAUAAGAUGCCAUUGCUCUCAUAAUAUAAGCAAAGAGAGUGAAGUUUGACAAGUUCUCUUUGCUAGAGGGAAUCUGUAUCAGUGAGUCUUCAAAGGGGGGCACCCGUUGGGGGUGGGUCUCAUCUCCCUAGGUGGGUCAUGUCAAGAUCUUGUUGGGUGGUCGGGCAUAACAUUUUUGUUUAUAAAGUAGGAAAAGGACCUUUUUUUAAAAGAUUCAAAAGACUUCCCGGCAAAGAUAACAGGAAACACCUGUAUCUCUCCUGUAGGAUCAGGGUCAGGUGACUGAGCUGAGACAGGAGUCCCCCUGCCAAGGUAGGAAGAGCAUAUUCAGGGCCCAUGAGAAAGGUGGGCCCAUGAGAAAGAUAAGUGUUGUGUGUGAAGACAGCCAUGGCUUCAACAACACAGGCUUUGCCUUCAUUGCAUGAAUGCGAUUGCUCUAGGAAAAUGCAAAGAGAAAGAAGAUUGAGGACAGUGAGUCCAGCAAGGGUCCUCAAAAUGGGGGUCCCGUGACUUGCAGAGCUGGCAGCCAUGAGGCUGCAGUAGUUUUCCUCAAGAAACAGUUGUGAAGCGUUUGGGGAGGGAGCAGGGACAGAGGCUGCUUCCUAAUCUCCACUGAUGGUGCCCUGGGCAGAGAGUGGGGUAGACGCCCCACCUGAACAAGCAACAGCAGAGUUCAUUCCUGGAACUCUUAGCAGGGAGGCAGCUCUCUCUAGGUGACUUCAUGGUGUCACUUCUACAGGGCUUUCUGAACCUACCCAGGUGCGUUAGUCCCACAUUCUUCAAGAGCAAUGGCUCUGGGGAGCCAGAAGGGUGAGUUGAAUAAGAGUGGUAACACACGGGACAGUAUCAGAAACGUAGCAAGGCAGAUCUAAUGAAUGAAUUUUAAUAGUGAAAAGAAGAGAAAGCCCAGUGAGCAGUGCCAAAUGCCACAAGAAUCACCACAUCCCGCAGCUGAAGAUGGGACAGCGAGGGCAACUGGGGCAUGAUUUUGGUGGAGGAGCUGGAAGGACCCUGUGUUGGUGAAUGGUUACCACUCCCCAUCAUGCUAGGGAGGGGUAGCAAGCAGCACGGAAGGAGCCCAAGCUGCACAACAAACAGACUAGCACGUCUGGUACACGGACCCUUAAAGAUCACUCUUGAGCCAUCCUGAGGCCUCGUGAGAAAGGAGGAGUUUGAGGAGUUGCAGUCUGGUGAAUUCCCUGGUGGGACCUCAGCAUUUAAGACCCCUAGAUUAUGCUCUUCCAAGCUGAUGUACAGGGGGCUUAGAGAUGGGGUUAAGUACCUGGAAUGGGGGCAGAAACCACAGGAGUCAUGAGACACUGGGGACAGAAUGGACAAUGAAAGAUGUCACCCACUGGUAGGGGGUCCAAUGAGAAGCAUGUUCUCUCAGAGAUUUAGGGUGUUGCUGAGGUGGCAGAGGGCAAUUAGAACUCUCCAUUUUAAAGAAAACUGAGCCAUAAAUUAGUAGAAAUACAAGUAAACUUUUUGGAAACCUCUUCCCACCUUCCUUAGAUAGUGAUGUUUAAUGCAAGGAUUGCUAUGACGUCAGCCAGACUAGACUGUCUACAAACCAAGCCGGGCUGCCUCCAAGGCUCAGAGUCAGAGCUACUUACUGACUUACUUGAUAUGUUAUCGUAUCUAAAAUAGCAACCAGGAGAGAAGGACUCAUGAAAAUCCAGGCAGGGAGCACCUUCAUCAGCACUCUGAAAUGCAACCAGCGAAACACUAACUAACCAGCACAAAAAUAUGAGAGCUUGGGACAAAUGAAGAAGAGAGGAUAUAGAGCACAAAUAGCAUUUUAUUGAGAAUCGCUAUACAUAGGCUCUUCCUUCACUCUCACUAACUAGCUAGGGACAUUUGGGAAAGUAAUUUAAUGUCCCUGAACCUUGGUUUCCACCCACAUAGAACAUGAGAGUUGAAGCAGGUGGUCCCUAGGACAUUUUGUGUAUCUGAGGUCCAGGGUAGUUCGCAGACUGGAACACUCCCAGAUUUUCCAGAACAAAUACUAUUCCUCUGAUAUGGCCUCAGCCAAUAGCAUGAUCCAUCUCCUCCCAGGGAAUGUCUCCAAUUAGAAAAUGCAGGGAUGGAUCUUUUUGAAACUGGAUAAGAGACCUCACCAAGCAGUGUUAAGUUUUCCCCAUGGCCCCGUGUUUGCCAUGCAUUUGAUUCUCAUUGUGGUCCAAGCUUCUCCCACCACAUCCAUUUCACCCACCAAGAAACGCAUUGACAAUCGUGUGGACUAUGGCGCUAUUGCCCAACUAGACAGGCCAACCUGUCAUUAAGGAGACCCAAAUCCUGACGCAGAGCCCAGCAUCUCAGGGAAAGACCCCUGACAGUUUUGCUUGACUUUUGAUCCCAGUGAUGAGAUAAAGUGUGCUGGGUUGACUUUAACUAUUACAUAACCCUUGUAAUUAUAGAGCUUUCACUUUGGAGCCUGAGGGAAAUGUCACAGGUGGUGGACUCUGAGCUCUGGGCCAGCUGGGCCUUCCCUAGUCAUGCCUAGUCUCAUAUUCAAAAGGAGAGGCCAAAUUAUUUUUACUCCACCCGCAGCAGUAGACUCAGCACCAAGACAUUUGGGGUACAUUUUAUCUCCUCAGUCUCUUUUGGAACCCAAUAUUUGUUCAUUGAUUCACUCCUUGAGUACCUACUGUGACUAAGGCACUGUGUGGAAUAGUGACAAUUACUCUUUUGAUGUUUCUUCAACAUUUGUAUACUUGAUCCUCUAACCCAGGGGUCAGCAAAUCACAGCCCCUGGGCCAAAUCCAGCCCUCUGCCUGUUUUUGUACAACCUCACAAGUUUAGAAUAGUUUUUACAUUUUUAAAUGGUUGAAAAAGAAAUAAAAAGAAUAAUGUUCAAUUCAAAUUUCAGUUACCCCUCCUACUCCUAUCACUCAGUCCUAAGAAGUGUCUAUAAAUAAAGCUGUAAUUAUUAGAACACAACUGUGGUAGGCAGAAUUCUAAAAUGACCCGCAAUGACACUCGCCCUUGUAUAAUCUCCUCCCCUUGAGUGUGGGUGAAACCUGUGAAUAUAAUGAGGUCUCACUCCUGUGAUUGUGUUACAUUAUAUGGCAAAAGGGAUUUUUGUAGGUGUAAUUAAGAGUCAAUCAGUUGACUUUGAAUUAUUCAAUAGGGAAAUUAUCCAGGUGGGCCUAACCUAAUCGUAGGAGCCCUUUAAAAGUAAAGAGUUCUUGGGGCUGGCCUGGUGGUGCAGCGGUUAAGUUCGCACAUUCUGCAUUGGGAACCUGGGGUCCUGGAUCCUGGUCGCGGACACACUCACCACUCAUCAAGCCGUGCUGAGGCGGCAUCCCACGUAGAAGAACUAGAAAGACCUACAACUAGGAUAUACACUUGUGUACUGGGGGCUUUGGGAAGAAAAAAAAAAAAAGAGGAAGAUUGGCA